rnacentral:lncRNA from 1 species
AACUUUUUUAAAAGUGAAAAAGGAAGCAAAUAAUACUGUAUAUUUCAUAUACUAUAUCUUAAUUUGAGAUAUAUAUGUAUGUAUAUUUAAUUUAGAACCAUAUAUUAAAAUUUUUGCAGUGGUUAUUUCUGAAAGGUGGUUUAUGGAUGGAUUAAAUUUCUUUCUUUGUACUUUUCUGUAUUUUUCAGCUUUUCUACAAACGACCAAUAGUAGAAAAUAAUAGAGAAGCUGCAAAAAAGGGAGAAAAUUUUUAUAAUAGAGAAAAAGUUGCAAAAAAGGGGAGACAUCCAAGUUUAUAGUACUAUAUUUUAGGCAAAUUGCCAUGAAAAAUUGUUAAACUUAAAAAAAAAGAGGUAAGGUUUGGUGUUAUUGAGCACUUCAAAUGUGGCUAGCUCAAAUUGAGAUAGCUGUAAGUAUAAAUUACCAAAUGGAUUUCAAAGUCUUAGUGCAAAAAGAGAAUAUGAAAUAUCUCAUGUAUUUUUAAACAUUUGUUACAUGAUAAAAAAAUUUUGUUAGAUUAAAUAAACUAUAUUAUUUUCUUAGUCCAUUUUGUGCUGCUAUAACAGAAUGUCUAACACUGGUUAGUUUAUAAAGAACAGAGGUUUAUUUCCUACAAUUCUGGAGGCUGGAGUCCAAGGUCAAGGGGUGGCAUCUGGUGAUGGCCUUCUUGCUUCAUCAUCCCAUGGCAGAAGGCAGGAGAGCAAGAGAAUGUGUGGGAGAGAAAUAGAGGGCCAAACUCAUUUUUCUAACAAGCCCUCUCUUGAGAUAACUAACUUACUCCCUCAAUAACAACAUUAAUCCACUCACAAGGGCAGAGCCUUCAUGACCUAAUCACCACUUAUUAGGCUGUACCGCCAACAUUGCUGCAUUGGGGAUAAAGUUUCUGAUACAUAAACUUUGAGGAACAUAUUCAAAUCAUAGGAAUUGUUAAAAGUAAUUUUAUGUAUUUCUUUUUACUUUUUAAAAUGUAGCUACCAGAAAGUUUACAAUUAAACAUAUGGCUGAUGUUCGUGGCUAUAUAUGUAUUGGACAGUGCUGGUCUAGAAUAUCAUCCAAUUUUUAAUAAACCCCUGAAACCCAAGUGACUUUAAGUGCUUUACCUUUCCCCUAACAUCCUCUUCAGUAUUAUCCAAUAAAAAGGCUUUAUCCUCCAUCCUAA